rnacentral:lncRNA from 1 species
GGGGAGAGGUGAGAAGAGAGAGAUAUAAGUUGUUUUAAUUGUUCUAUUAUUUUAGGGUAAGUUUUGAUUUUUAUUUUGAGCCUCACUAAUUAUUUUAGUAUGGACAGAUUUUAUUAAAUGAAUGGGCCUAUUGCUAUCAUUCUGAGUGGGCUGAUUUUAUUGAUUUAAAUGAGCUUGUUGCUUUCAAUAUUAUAAUUGAGCUGUAUUAUUUAUAGCAAGUCUUUAAAUUAUUUUUCUUGGACUUUAACUAUUAGUUUGAGCCUGAAAAUGUUUUAAUAAGAAUUAUUAAUUUUUCUUCCAAGAGUAAGGUUCUAUAUUUUUAAAUUAUUAACUAUUUUAUAAGUUUUAAAUCUAUUAUUAAUCAUAUUUAUUAAGUUAUUAAUUAUGUAUUAAAAGUUUAUGGAUUCGCUCAAAGAGAUUAUUAAUUCGGGCAAAGUGUAUCAAUAGUUUGUGAUUUUCCUCUUUGUAUUUAGAAGUUAGAAUAGCACCAAGAGACCUAUUAAGAAUAGAUUUUUUUGUAGGCUUUGAGGAUCAGGAGGAUUAGCACUGCUUUCCCGUGACAGGUUUACGAUUAAACUACAGGCUUUGCCUAUUCAGGUGGGCUUUAUUUUACAUACAAUGUAUCUUGAGUUAUAUAAGCUCUGAUAUUUCAUGAAAGUUACUCGUUUAUCCAAUAUAAAUGUUUUUAUGUGCGUUCUGUAAUUGUUUAAGGCUCACUUAAGUAUCGAUCGAGAUUCUCAUUUGGCCUAACACGCUAAAUGAGGAUUGUGUACACAUGGUUAGUGGCUCGAUGGGUUGAUCACCAUCGUGCACUAACAGAUUUAGAACGUUAUAAGGGUGGGUGCUUGACAGGAGGUUAUCCGGAGCACAGUUAAGGUUAUUGAUUCCGACCGGGUGCGUCCCGAGAUCAAUAACAGAUUUUGGAUCUGACUGGGUGCGUCCCGAGAUCAGUGAAUGUGGGGAGAAAGUGAGUAACAAUCGAACGUACAUGGCGCGCCACUUAAUGAAGAAAAGUUUUGUCAUGCUUAGAAGUGGGAUUCCGUUUUAAAACCUUCUAAGUCAUGAUUGUGAUAUUGGAUAAACUGCUUCGAUUACUUCAUAAAAUAUUUCAGAAACUUGUGCCCACUGAGUACAUUAGUACUCAGCCCAAAUUAUUUUCAAAUGUUUUCAGGUUGAUCAGUUGGUGCAGACGAGGCUGAGCUGAGGCUAAGGUUCCACGAUGUCUUUUGCUUCCGCUAAUAACUAUCUUGUCACCUCACCCUCCAUCCCCUAAAUUGAGAAUUUCUAUUAUGUGGUACAAUAUUAUCUUGUUGGGCUUAAACUCUUAUCCUAUAUUUCUAUUAAUAAAGCUAUCUUUGAUUAUGGUCAGAGCCACGAAACUAAACUUAUGUGAUCCUGAGUUUGAAUAUUGUCAUUUGAUUGGCAACUCUUAAGGCCUUUCAAUUUACUUCCUUUCAUUUUAUCUCUUUGGAAUAUGAAUACCCAAUUUAAUGGGUAGAUUGUCAAGUUUAUUCUGGUUGAUUAAGACUUUCCAUUAUUUUUCCUAUUUCCUCUUGCCUUGGGAAGUCGGGUCGUUACAAGUGGUAUCAGAGCACAAGUUUUCUUUCGUGUCUCUGACUACCGUUAGUUUAAUUACUUCGAGUCUGGAAUUUGUACCUCUAGACUCCUAAGCAUUGCUGCAACCCUCAGCUCACCGUCUCACUGCCUGAUCAACAAAGGUACGUUUUCAAAAUUUUCAAAUAAAUUAUUUUGCUUCAAGAAAGUGCGCGCAAAUGAUUAUCUUGUGAAAAACUUGAAUGAUUCCACAUAUGCAAGGAGAUAUUGUUUAUGCAAAGAAAGAAAAGUGAAAUUUCGAAAUGAAACAUACAAGAAAAAUAUCAAAACAGGAUGGAUAUAGAGCACACAUGAUAUAUUUUAAAAAGAACUAAAUCAUAAAGAGUCUCAUUGACUCCACACAAGAAUGUUAGAAAGACAAAAUAUUAAUUCAUUAGUCUUGAUUCUAUGAAUCAUUUAUGAUUAAAGAUAUGUUUUGAUUUUUACUUCUAUGCAUGUUGAGAAAUAUUUCUAGAUGGUAGUGACAUGAUUUGUCGACUUAGAUUAUUUAAAACCUUUUUGACUUGACAAUUAUGAGUAGGUUGACUCAAUAGUCAAUAAAGCUAUGAGCUUAUAAGAGUAUGCUUUACCUCAUAGCGAGAGGUGCACUAGCAAAUGCUAUGACAUGAUUUCAAAUCAUAUGAACUAGACUUUUGUCUAGGGAACUUUAGAAUGAUGAGGAAUAGAACCUUGAAGAACAUAGAAUAUUUUCAGAAUACCUAUGAUGCUUAUAGAACAGAGAAACUUGGUUAGAUCUAGUCUUGCGUUAUUUUUUGUUUGAAUGUCAUUGGUCUUUCUUUUUAGACGGACAAACAAGGCGAGAAGUUCUGCAAGCAUUAGACACCAAUGUACUUGCAAAAACAAUAUGACGAGAAGUUCCAUGACUACAUCAAGAACCUAGAUGAUUUAUUCAAAGAAUUUUGGGAGAUCUUCGUGUUUUGAAUAGAUGCGCGCAAUGGAAGAGUAUUAAAUAUCGAAUCAUCAACGAGGCUCGUGCGGCACCUUUCAAAUGAAUGGAAUAUAGGGACAGCCAACACAUGCCCAAGAAUUGUGAUCAAUGAUUUUUCGCAGCUGACCAAGAGCACCAAGCCAAGGCCAUUGACAUCGUAAGAAGAUCAUAAGAACAAUAUUGAGGAAGUUAUCACAAGAAAUAUAUGAGAAAACAAUUGCCUACAUGCGUUAUUAGAUUAGUGGUGGUACCAGUUGUGUGGAAUCACGUUUCUUUGUACAUAAUCACCAAACCUUUUGAUUGUAAGUCGAACUCGUCUACAUCUAACUCAGACCUUACCUAGAACCUCAAUUCUUUUAAUAAAUACUCAUAUUAUGCUUAUGUAUUCCAAAGAAAUACUUGGAGUAUACUAUUGUGUUAAUUANGGAGAAAGUGAGUAACAAUCGAACGACACAUGGCGCGCCACUUAAUGAGAAAAGUUUUGUCAUGCUUAGAAGCGGAUUUCUAUUUUAAAACCUUCUAAGUUAUGAUUGUGAUAUUGGAUAAACUGUUUCGAUUAUUUCAUAAAAUAUUUCAGAAACUCGUGCCCACUGAGUACAUUAGUACUCAGCCCAAAUCAUUUUCAAAUGUUUUUAGGUUGAUCAGUUGGUGCAGACGAGGCUGAGUUGAGGCUAAGUACCACGAUGUCUUUUGCUUCCGCUAAUGACUAGCUUAUCAUCUCGUCUUUUAAAUUCUCUAAAUUUAGAAUUUCUAUU